rnacentral:tRNA from 1 species
GGAGGCAUAGCUGAAGGGUUGAAGUAUCUGCUUAGCAAGUACAAAGCUUAGUUCAAAUCCAAGUGCCACCA